rfam:Schistosoma rodhaini strain Burundi genome assembly, scaffold: SROB_scaffold0000846
AUGGAGCUGACGAGUCUCAAAUAGGACGAAACGCGCAUCCUAGAU